rnacentral:lncRNA from 1 species
CACACACACACACACACACAGGGUUGCAGAUUGCAUUGUACUUAUUUUUUGUGCAAUCUUAUUCCAUUCUUAUUAAUUUGUUUACAAUUAUUCUUUAUUUUAUUGGCACCGGUAUUAUAAUAAUAAUUGUAUGUAAUGGUGUAUAUGUGUGUAUGUAUGUACAGUUGAAGUCGGAAGUUUACAUACACCUUAGCAAAAUACAUUUAAACUCAGUUUUUCACAAUUCCUGACCUUUAAUCCUAGUAAAAAUUCCCUGUCUUAGGUCAGUUACGAUCACCACUUUAUUUUAAGAAUGUGAAAUGUCAGAAUAAUAGUAGAGAGAAUGAUUUAUUUCAGCUUUUAUUUCUUUCAACACAUUCCCAGUGGGUCAGAAGUUUACAUACACUCAAUUAGUAUUCGGUAGCAUUGCCUUUAAAUUGUUUAACUUGGGUCAAACGUUUCGGGUAGCCUUCCACAAGCUUCCCACAAUAAGUUGGGUACAUUUUGGCCCAUUCCUCCUGACAGAGCUGGUGUAACUGACUCAGGUUUGUAGGCCUCCUUGCUCGCACAUGCUUUUUCAGUUCUGCCCACACAUUUUCUGUAGGAUUGAGGUCAGGGCUUUGUGAUGGCCACUGCAAUACCUUGACUUUGUUGUCCUUGUUACAUUCCCCAGUUUGUGUAUUUGUGAGUGUGCGUUUCAGGAAAUGGCUUCCUGAAAUUCUCCCCAAGCAGCUGAUUGGUUGGCCCCCAUUGAUGAUUGGAGAGCUGACACGCCACCGCGUCAUGACGCAGCUGUCUUCAAUUACAGACUCCUUCUGAAGCAAUAUAAGCCAGUGUUCUGUUUCUCAGAAGAGGAGGAGACGAUUGCUGAGAGAGAAGGCUGAUGGCUAUAUCAUAUUGGUUGUUGCUAACAGAGUUGGUAUGUACUGUGCUAGAUGAUUGCUGAGAGAGAAGGCUGAUGGUUAUAUCAUAGGUUGCUGAGAGUGAGACAGUACAUACCAAAACUGCCUAUGUUAGUUGUUGCUGGGAGCAGCCUUGGUAUGUUCUGUGUUAGUUUGUUGCUCAGUCAGAGAGCUUAUUUGAUAUCCUGUGUUUCUCUUUUUUUUUGGUGAAAUUGUUUAUAAUAUUCUGUUUCAUUUGUUCCCGAAGGGGAAGGCACCUAGGGAGUGCUUAGGCAAGAGGUCCGUGGGCAUACAUGACCUGUAGUAUUCACUGUCUAUGCACACUAGGUAAGACCUGGGCGGACCAUCCCCUGUAUUUUUGUUAGUGCACCAGGUGGUGCUAGUUAGGUAGGCAGGUAAGGUAGGAGAGGGGGCUUUGAUAUUUACUUUCUUUGCUUUGGUUCCGUCCAGCCCCUCUUCCCCCAAAUUACCGGGUAACGGAAUAAAUUCCUUGUAAACUGUAAUUCUCUGCCCUUUUGUCAUCCUUGUUCAUACCUCUUUCACACCACGGAGAGUUGAGUUGUAGCAGGGUGUUGCGUUCCCUCCUCCUAGAGGCGUGCGUAACAGUCCUUAAGCCAUUUUGCCACAACUUUGGAAGUAUGCUUGGGGUCAUUGUCCAUUUGGAAGAUCCAUUUGCGACCAAGCUUUAACUUUCUGACUGAUGUUUGAAAUUUUGCUACAAUAUAGCCACAAUUUUCCUUCCUCAUCAAGCCAUCUAUUUUGUGAAGUGUACCAGUCCCUCUGCACCAAAGCAACCCCCACAACAUGAUGCUGCCACCCCCUUGCUUCACAGUUGGGAUGAUAUUCUUUGGCUUGCAAGCCUCCCCCUUUGUCCUCCUAACAUGACAAUGGUCAUUGUGGCCAAACAGUUCUAUUUUUGUUUCAUCAAACCAGAGGACAUUUCUCAACAACAACAAAAAAUAUCUUUGUCCCCAUGUGCAGUUGUCAACUGUAGUCUGUCUUUUUAUGGGGGUUUUGGGGCAGUGGGUUCUUCCUUGCUGAGCGGGCUUUCAGGUUUUGUCGAUAUAGUACUCGUUUUACUGUGGAUAUAGAUGCUUAUGUACCUGUUUCCUUCAGCAUCUUCAGAAGGUCCUUUGCUGUUCUGGUAUUGAUUUGCACUUUUCGCACCAAAGUACGUUAAUCUCUAGGAGACAGAACGCGUCUCCUUCCUGAGCGGUGUGAUGGCUGCGUGGUCCCAUGGUGAUUAUACUUGCGUACUAUUGUUUGUAAAGAUGAACGUGGUCCCUUCAGGCGUUUGGAAAUUGCUCCCAAGGAUGAAAUAGACUUGUGGAGGUCUACAAUUUGUUUUCUGAGGUCUUGGAUGAUUUAUUUUGAUAUUCCAUGAUGUAAAACAGAGGCACUGAAUUUGAAGGUAGGCCUUGAAAUAAAUCCACAGGUACACCUCCAAUUUGACUCAAAUGAUGUCAAUUACCCUGGAAUCAUCAUUUGGCAUAAGCAGGAUUUAGCACUGAAUGAAAUGAAAAAAGGUACUAAUCACAUUUGGCUAAAACUUAACAAAAGUACAAUCUAUUGUGACAAUGAUUUAUUCAUAUGUGCAGCUUAUGCUCCUCCAGAUUCAUCAUAUUUUGAUCUGUUUUUUGACAUUCUCCAUACAGAAAUCAUUCCAUUUCAGGCAGAGGGUAAAGUGCUUCUUUGUGGAGAUUUCAAUGCGAGAACAGGUUCUGGGCUGGACUACACUGAUGCGGGAGUUGAAAACGGGAUUCGUCCGUGAAGAUCACACUUCUCCAGCGUGCCAGUGGCCAUCGAAGGUGAGCAUUUGCCCACUGAAGUCAGUUACGACACCAAACUACAGUCAGGUCAAGACCCUGGUGAGGAUGACGAGCACGCAGAUGAACAUCCCUGAGACGGUUUCUGACAAUUUGUACAGAGAUUCUUUGGUUUCAUUAGCUGUCCGGGUGGCUGGUCUCAGACGAUCCCGCAGGUGAAGAAGCCGGAUGUGGAGGUCCUGGGCUGGUGUGGUUACACGUGGUCUGCGGUUGUGAGGCCAGUUGGGCGUACUGCCAAAUUCACUAAAACUACAUUGGAGGCGGCUUAUGUGUUGUGUGACAAAACUGCACAUUUUAGAGGGGCCUGUUAUUGACCCAAGUACAAGGUGCACCUGUGUAAUGAUCAUGCUGUUUAAUCAGCUCCUUGAUAUGCCACACCUGUCAGGUGGAUGGACUAUUUUGGCAAAGGAGAAAUGCUCACUAACAGGGAUGUAAAAAUAUAAAAAUGUAUAUUUUUAAAUGUGUGAAUUUAACAUUUCUGGGAUAAUUUAUUGCAGCUCAUGAAACAUGAGACCAACACUUUACAUGUUGCAUUUGUAUUUUUGUUCAGUAUACGUUUGCAAUUAGCUGACCCAAACAGCCACAACAUUCUCAGUAACUGUUACAGAAACAUUUUUACUUGCUAUGAUAGUGAUAUGUGUUGUUUAUCUACCUUAGUUGAAUGCACUGACUGUAAAUCACUCUGGAUAAGAGUGUCUGCUAAAUUACCAAAAUGUACAUGUAUAUGUGAAAAUGAACAUCCCAAAAGUAACUGCAAAGUACAGUGGGUAUUAUUAUUGGCCUGUUUCGGAAUCAUGACUAGAUGGGAUACAGUUUGGACAUGGUUCGUCAGGACUUCAAACAGCCGAAGCUAAGUAACAUUAACAUGAUGCCUUCUAAUUGCAGUCGUUGUACUUAUAAUAUACAGGAGAACGAUCGCCUUACGGCAAGGAUAGCUGUGCUGCAAGCCCAGCUUCAGACGCGAUCGUUAGGCAAGGGCAAUUUCAGUGUAGGAAAGGAUGAAACAGCGUCUGUGCCACCAGACCUGAGCCCUAGGACCAUGCCUCAGGACUACCUGGUAUGAUGACUCCUUGCUGUCCCCAGUCCACCUGGCCGUGCUGCUGCUCCAGUUUCAACUGUUCUGCCUGCGGCUAUGGAACCCUGACCUGUUCACCGGACGUGCUUGUUGCACCCUCGACAACUACUAUGAUUAUUAUUAUUUGACCAUGCUGGUCAUUUAUUAACAUUUUAACAUUUUGACCAUGUUCUGUUAUAAUAUCCACCCUGCACAGCCAGAAGAGGACUGGCCACCCCUCAUAGCCUGGUUCCUCUCUAGGUUUCUUCCUAGGUUUUUGGCCUUUCUAGGGAGUUUUUCCUAGCCACCGUGCUUCUUUCACAUGCUUUGCUUGCUGUUUGGGGUUUUAGGCUGGGUUUCUGUACAGCACUUUGAGAAUAUCAGCUGAUGUACGAAGGGCUAUAUAAAAAUAAAUUUGAUUGAUUUGAGUUUAACCUCAUUCUCCUUACCUGCUGCGUAAUGUAAGUGUAAUGGCGUCGAAGGAGAUGGCCUCUGUUUUACGAUACCUUAACCAAUUGUGCAUCAAUACAGGACUAAGAUUGAAUCAUACUACACCGGCUCUGACGCUUGUUGGAUGUGGCAGGGCUUGCAAACUAUUACAGACUUCAAAGGGAAGCAAAGGCACGAGCUGCCCAGUGACCCAAACCUACCAGACGAGCUAAAUUACUUCUAUGCACGCUUCGAGGCAAGUAACACUGAAACAUGCAUGAGAGCACCAGCUGUUCUGGAUGACGCUGUGAUCACGCUCUCUGUAGCCGAUGUGAGUAAGACCUUUAAGCAGGUCAAUAUUCACAAGGCCGCAGGGCCAGACGGAUUACCAGGACGUGUACUCCGAGCAUGUGCUGACCAACUGGCAAGUGUCUUCACUGACAUUGUCAACCUGUCCCUGACUGAGUCUGUAAUACCAACAUGUUUCAAGCAGACCACCAUAGUCCCUGUGCCCAAGAACACUACGGUAACCUGCCUAAAUGACUACCGACCCGUAGCACUCACAUUUGUAGCCAUGAAGUGCUUUGAAAAGCUGGUCAUGGCUCACAUCAAUACCAUUAUUCCAGAAACACUAGACCCACUCCAAUUUGCAUACCGCCCCGACAUAUCCACAGACGAUGCAAUCUCUAUUGCACUCAACACUGCCCUUUCCCUCCUGGACAAAAAGGAACACCUAUGUGAGAAUGCUAUUCAUUGACUACAACUCAGCGUUCAACACCAUAGCGCCCUCAAAGCUCAUCACUAAGCUAAGGACCCUGGGACUAAACACCUCCCUCUGCAACUGGAUGCUGGACUUCCUGACGGGCCGCCCCCAGGUGGUAAGGGUAGGUAACAACACAUCAGCCACACUGAUCCUCAGCACGGGGGCCCCUCCGGGGUGCGUGCUCAGUCCCCUCCUGUACUCCCUGUUCACCUACAACUGCAUGGCCAGGCACGACUCCAACACCAUCAAGUUUGCCAAUGACACAGUAGGCCUGAUCACCAACAAUGAUGAGACAGCCUAUAGGGAGGAGGUCAGAGACCUGGCCAUGUGGUGCCAGGACAACAACCUCUCCCUCAACAUGAUCAAGACAAAGGAGAUGAUUGUGGACUACAGGAAAAUGGGGCUGCAGUGGAGUAGGUUGAGAACUUCAAGUUCCUUGGUGUCCACAUCACCAACAAACUGUCAUGGUCCAAACACACUAAGACAGUCGUGAAGAGGGCACGACAAAGCCUAUUCCCCCUCACGAGACUGACAAGAUUUGGCAUAGGUCCUCAGAUCCUCAAAAGUUUCUACAGCUGCACCAUCAAGAGCAUCCUGACUAGUUGCAUCACUGCCUGGUAUGGCAAAAUCUCAAGGCACUACAGAGGGUAGUGCGUACAGCCCAGUACAUCACUGGGGCCAAGCUUCCCGCCAUCCAGGACCUCUAUACCAGGCGGUGUCAGAGGAAGGUCCUAAAAAUUGUCAAAGACUCCCGCCACGCUAGUUAUAGACUGUUCUCUCUGUUACCGCACGGCAAGCGUUACCGGAGUCCAAAAAGGCUUCUUAACAGCUUCUACCCCCCCAAGCCAUAAGACUCCUGAAAAGCUUCUACCCCCCCAAGCCAUAACAUUUACAUUUACGUCAUUUAGCAGACGCUCUUAUCCAGAGCGACUUACAAAUUGGUGCAUUCACCUUAUGAUAUCCAGUGGAACAACCACUUUACAAUAGUACAUCUAUAUAUUUUUUGGGGGGGAGGGUAGGGGGGAGGGUUAGAAGGAUUACUUUAUCCUGUCCCAGGUAUUCCUUAAAGAGGUGGGGUUUCAGGUGUCUCCGGAAGGUGGUGAUUGACUCCGCUGUCCUGGCAUCGUGAGGGAGCUUGUUCCACCAUUGGGGUGCCAGAGCAGCGAACAGUUUUGACUGGGCUGAGCGGGAACUGUGCUAUCGCAGAGGUAGGGAGGCGAGCAGGCCAGAGGUGGAUGAAUGCAGUGCCCUUCUUUGGGUGUAGGGACUGAUCAGAGCCUGAAGGUACAGAGGUGCCGUUCCCCUCACAGCUCCAUAGGCAGGCAUCAUGGUCUUGUAGCAGAUGCGAGCUUCAACUGGAAGCCAGUGGAGUGUGCGGAGGAGCGGGGUGACGUGAGAGAACUUGGGAAGGUUGAACACCAGACGGGCUGCAGCGUUCUGGAUGAGUUGUAGGGGUUUGAUGGCACAGGCAGGGAGCCCCGCCAGCAGCGAGUUGCAGUAAUCCAGACGGGAGAUGACAAGUGCCUGGAUUAGGACCUGCGCCUCUUCCUGUGUAAGGCAGGGUCGUACUCUGCAAAUGUUGUAGAGCAUGAACCUACAGGAUCGGGUCACCGCCUUGAUGUUAGCGGAGAACGACAGGGUGUUGUCCAGGGUCACGCCAAGUCUCUUAGCACUCUGUGAGGAGGACACAAUGGAGUUGUCAACCGUGAUGGCGAGAUCAUGGAACGGGCAGUCCUUCCCCGGGAGGAAGAGCAGCUCCGUCUUGCCGAGGUUCAGGAGGGAGGAGAAGGUGGCAAAGAGCUUCCUAGGGUUAGAGGCAGAUGCUUGGAAUUUAGAGUGGUAGAAAGUGUCUUUUGCAGCAGAAACAGAGGAAGAAAAUGUGGAGAGGAGGGAGUGAAAAGAUGCCAGGUCCGCAGGGAGGCUAGUUUUCCUCCAUUUCCGCUCGGCUGCCCGGAGCCUUGUUCUGUGAGCUCGCAAUGAGUCGUCAAGCCACGGAGCAGGAGGGGAGGACCGAGCCGGCCGGGAGGAUAGGGGACAUAGAGAGUCAAAGGAUGCAGAAAGGGAGGAGAGGAGGGUUGAGGAGGCAGAAUCAGGAGAUUGGUUGGAGAAGGAUUGAGCAGAGGGAAGAGAUGAUAGGAUGGAAGAGGAGAGAGUAGCAGGAAAGAGAGAGCGAAGGUUGCGACGGCGCAAUACCAUCUGAGUAGGGGCAGAGUGAGUAGUGUUGGAGGAGAGCGAGAGGGAAAAGGAUACAAGGUAGUGGUCGAAGACUUGGAGGGGAGUUGCAGUGAGAUUAGUAGAAGAACAGCAUCUAGUAAAGAUGAGGUCAAGCGUAUUGCCUGCCUUGUGAGUAGGGGGGGACGGUGAGAGGGUGAGAGGGUGAGGUCAAAAGAGGAGAGGAGUGGAAAGAAGGAGGCAGAGAGAAAUGAGUCAAAGGUAGACGUAGGGAGGUUAAAGUCACCCAGAAUUGUGAGGGGUGAGCCAUCCUCAGGAAAGGAACUUAUCAAGGCGUCAAGCUCAUUGAUGAACUCUCCAAGGGAACCUGGAGGGCGAUAAAUGAUAAGGAUGUUAAGCUUGAAUGGGCUAGUGACUGUGACAGCAUGGAAUUCAAAGGAGGAGAUAGACAGAUGGGUCAGGGGAGAAAGAGAGAAUGUCCACUUGGGAGAGAUGAGGAUUCCAGUGUCACCACCCCUCUGACCAGAUGCUCUCGGGGUAUGCGAGAACACAUGGUCAGACGAGGAGAGAGCAGUAGGAGUAGCAGUGUUUUCUGUGGUAAUCCAUGUUUCCGUCAGCGCCAAGAAGUCGAGGGACUGGAGGGUAGCAUAGGCUGAGAUGAACUCUGCCUUGUUGGCUGCAGACCGGCAGUUCCAGAGGCUGCCGGAGACCUGGAACUCCGGGUGGGUCGUGCGCGCUGGGACCACCAGGUUAGUGUGGCAGCGGCCAUGCGGUGUGAAGCGUUUGUGUGGCCUGUGCAGAGAGGAGAGAACAGGGAUAGACAGACACAUAGUUGACAGGCUACAGGAGAGGCUACGCUAAUGCAAAGGAGAUUGGAAUGAAAAUUAACUAAACAACUGGGGAAGCGAGAGAGCAGGGCCUCCCUCACUAACCAUUCACUGAAACACUCAAAUAUAACUUUUCCAACUUCCACUUAGAAAUUAUAAUUCCUAAACAGCUUCUACCCCCAGGCCAUACGACUCCUGAACAGCUAAUCAAGGGGUUACCCAGACCCCUCUUUUACACUGCUGCUACUCUGUUUAUUAUCUAUGCUUGGUCACGUUAAGUCUACCUACAUGUACAUAUUACUUCAAUUACCUCGACUAACCAGUGCCCCCACACAUUGACUCUGUACUGGUACCCCCGUAUAUAGCCUCGCUAUUUCUAUUGUUAUUUUACUGCUGCUGUUGAAUUACUUUAUUUAAAAUUUUUAGAUUUUUUUUCAAAUGUUUACUUAUCUGUUUUUUACUUACACAUUUUUCUUAACUUAAAGCAUUGUUAGUUAACGGCUUGUAAGUAAGAAUUUCACUAAGAUCUACACCUG